rnacentral:rRNA from 1 species
UACGAAGGGGGCUAGCGUUGCUCGGAAUUACUGGGCGUAAAGCGCACGUAGGCGGCUUCUUAAGUCGGAGGUGAAAUCCUGGAGCUCAACUCCAGAACUGCCUUCGAUACUGGGAAGCUCGAGUCCGGGAGAGGUGAGUGGAACUGCGAGUGUAGAGGUGAAAUUCGUAGAUAUUCGCAAGAACACCAGUGGCGAAGGCGGCUCACUGGCCCGGUACUGACGCUGAGGCGCGAGAGCGUGGGGAGCAAACCGG